GAUGAACGCUGACAGAAUGCUUAACACAUGCAAGUCAACUGUGGCGGACGGGUGAGUAACGCGUAAAGACCUUGCCUCACGGAUAGGGACACCAUUUGGAAACGAAUGCUAAUACCUGAUACUGUGAGAGAGCUUUGGGUCCCAUUAGCUAGUUGGAGAGGUAACGGCUCACCAAGGCGAUGAUGGUUAGCCGGCCUGAGAGGGUGAUCGGCCACAAGGGGACUGAGACACGGCCCAUACACCAGCGGGAGGCAGCAGUGGAGAAUAUUGGACAAGGGACCAAAGUCUGAUCCAGCAAUUCUGUGUGCACGAUGAAGUUUUCGGAAUGUAAAGUGCUUUCAGUUGGGAAGCGGUACCAACAGAAGAAGUGACGGCUAAAUACGUGCCAGCAGCCGCGGUAAUUC
rnacentral:rRNA from 1 species